rnacentral:misc_RNA from 1 species
UUAGGUUUAUUAGUUUAUUAUUUGCUUGAUUCCAAUGUUGAAAACUUUGAACCUCCGAGCAAAAUUGGAAGGCUUAACAAUAGCUACAUUAUGUCUUCAUAUAUCUUAGUGGUAUGGUUUUUAAGUACUAGAGAAUUGGGCUGAGAUUCCUUGUGAGAACUUGAAGAAUCAUAAUGAAUUCUCAUCCAUCUAAAAGUCCCUAUAGACGACAAUUUCAAAUUGUAAAUUCUAUAACCUUUAGUUAACUCUUUUAACCCAAGAAAACUCCAUUUUAAACUUCUUGACAACUUAUUUCCAAGGAAAAACAUUUACAUAUGGUGUUUCUAAGAAGACAAGCCACUAUGAAAAGGUUUUCUAGCAUAAAGGAAACCACAUGCUCCAAAUGUAGAAAAAAUUGGGUCUGUGGUUAUAGCUUGCUGAUUCAAGGUGAAACAUCAAGCCAAUAAAGCACAGAGGAAAGAAUGAAUGCUUACUUUGAAGAUCUGCAAAGGUCAUGAUAGUAUUUUACUAAAAUAUUG